GGCUCCAAAUGGAGUGACGCUUUUGCCCUCUCUUGAAAUUUUUUGCAGCCCUGCCACUUCCAGAAGUGAUUUCCAGACUUCUACAUCUACAGAUAGAGAGGAACGAUCCAGAGAGAGAUAGGAGGUCGAGUGUGAUAGAGAGCAAUCCAGAGAGAUAUCAAGAACGAUCCACAGAGAGAUAGAGAGAUCGGGUGUGUGUUUUGUGCUUUCUACAGAGAGAGAGAGAGAGAGAGAGAGAGAGAGAGAGAGCUGAUAGUCAGGAAAGGGGAUUUUCACCUCAUCAUCCGAGCACGAAGUUCUAUGCAAAGCAGUACUUGGAUUGUUGUAUGUAGACAAUAGAAGCACUGAAAUCUAUCUAUAAAAUCAGCAUUUUCAAUUUUGAUAGAGCUCCACAAACAUCAAGCAGAUAUAGCCUUAUACUAUGAUUGAUGUCUUCAAACAUUGUUGUGUGCUUAGCUUUGCUGAUUGAAGAAGAUAAAUGGGAAAAUGAGCUCUCCUUCAGCUUCACAAGGUUGCAGAAAACAAAAGAAGUGUUGCUGGGUUUAGGAUUUCAGUGAUUGAUUUGGAGCGGUUGAAGAAAACAGAAGAAGUGUUGCUGGGUUUGGGAUUUCAGUGAUUGAAGGGUAUAAAACGCGGUGAGGAGAUAGAAGCGAUCUUUCUUCCCGUUCUUCAUUCUUGGCUGAUCUCUGCGUUUCUGUUGUUGGUAGAGUGAAAGAGAGGGAGAGAAUUGCAGAGAAUAGGAGUUCAUGUUAGUAAACGAGAGGGAAGACAGAGAUUGGAAUUAGAUCGAGGAAAGCAGGAGGUGUUGGGCUCAUUGUCGCGAUCUUCUGUCUCUCUCUUUUUCUCUUCGUUUUUGGCUGGGUUCUUCGCAUGUACAGGAAAAAUGCCAUGCACAUAUCGUCGAAAGAGAGUUGACUGAGCUGGUGAGAUGUUGCAGCUGGGUGUUAUCAAUAAAUUGAUUGAGUUGGGUCUUGAGAUUGUGCAAUGAGGCUAUCAAUUAUAGUAUUUUCCCAGUGGAGUUUAGUAUCAUUCUGUUUGGUAUAGCCAAGUUGCAGCUCCAGCAAAUAGAGUGAAGGCUUGAAGAAUAAGAGAAGCAGCACAAGGUCUGAUGGUCAGGUUGAAGAGAUACUUGGAGAUGAGGGGUGCUGAUGGAGGGCCGGCCUUGGAGAAGCUAGCUUAUGUGCUUUGCUUUUAUUUUGGAAUGUAUUAGACAUGACAGCUCCCUAAACUCCUAAAGAAAGACAGAUGCUGAGAGAGAAGGUGAUAAACACAUGUUAAAAAAAAGUGUCAUCCUGCAAAUACUUGGAAUAGAUUGACUUAAUAACUUUUCACAUCUAAGUUUGAAUAUUUUUUUAAAGCACGUUCCAGAAACAGGACUAAAGACACCAUUUUGUGAUGCAUGUUGCUGAAGAUGUAAUGAAGUCUGCAUUUUGCAGAGGUAAAUUUAUCUUAUUGCUGAGAUAGUAUUCAUGUGUGAGUGCGAUUCGAGCUCAAGCAUCCUCUGGUCUUCUAUGGGAGGGCCUGGAAUGAAGAGCCUUUAAGGAAUCAAGUUCUUAAUGAAGUGGUCGAGGUUGUGAGCACCAUUUUGAAGAGCCUCCACUGAUAUGUGGUGACGAACAUCAACACCUCUUUUCAGCAGACAGAUCAAAUGUAGCUAGGUUAGCCUAUUAAGUAGAACAAUAUAUUUUGAGAAGCUCUGUCAACAGCAGUUGUAUUGUAUAUUUGCACAUUAUCAGAACAUUCACAUUAAUGGUAAUGUUAGUUGCAAACAUAA